AAGGACGAACGCUGGCGGCGUGCCUAACACAUGCAAGUCGAGCGAGGAGAUUCCUUCGGGAUGAUCCUAGCGGCGGACGGGUGAGUAACACGUGGGCAACCUGCCUCAUAGAGAGGAAUAGCCUUCCGAAAGGGAGAUUAAUACCUCAUAACAUUGCAGUUUCGCAUGGAACAGCAAUUAAAGGAGUAAUCCGCUAUGAGAUGGGGCCCCGCGGCGCAUUAGCUAGUUGGUGAGGUAACGGCUCACCAAGGCGACGAUGCGUAGCCGACCUGAGAGGGUGAUCGGCCACAUUGGGACUGAGACACGGCCCAGACUCCUACGGGAGGCAGGCAGUGGGGAAUAUUGCACAAUGGGGGGAAACCCUGAUGCAAGCAACGCCGCGUGAGUGAUGACGGCCUUCGGGUUGUAAAGCUCUGUCUUCAGGGACGAUAAUGACGGUACCUGAGGAGGAAGCCACGGCUAACUACGUGCCAGCAGCCGC
rnacentral:rRNA from 1 species